CGGCGGACGGGUGAGUAAUGCCUAGGAAUCUGCCUGGUAGUGGGGGACAACGUUUCGAAAGGAACGCUAAUACCGCAUACGUCCUACGGGAGAAAGCAGGGACCUUCGGGCCUUGCGCUAUCAGAUGAGCCUAGGUCGGAUUAGCUAGUUGGUGAGGUAAUGGCUCACCAAGGCGACGAUCCGUAACUGGUCUGAGAGGAUGAUCAGUCACACUGGAACUGAGACACGGUCCAGACUCCUACGGGAGGCAGCAGUG
rnacentral:rRNA from 1 species